rnacentral:rRNA from 1 species
CAAUAGCGUAUAUUAAAGUUGUUGCAGUUAAAAAGCUCGUAGUUGGAUUUCUGGUGGGCACGGUCGGUCCGCCCGCAAGGGCGCGUACUGGAGCCGUUUUGCCCGCCAUCCUCGCGGAGAGGCCGUCUGGCAUUAGUUUGUUGGGCGGUGGAUCCGCGUCGUUUACUGUGAAAAAAUUAGAGUGUUUAAAGCAGGCCUUCGCUUGAAUACAUUAGCAUGGAAUAAUAAGAUAGGACCUCGGUGCUAUUUUGUUGGUUUGCACACCAAGGUAAUGAUUAACAGGGAUAGUUGGGGGUAUUCGUAUUUAAUUGUCAGAGGUGAAAUUCUUGGAUUUAUGAAAGACGAACUACUGCGAAAGCAUUUGCCAAGGAUGUUUUCAUUGA